rnacentral:rRNA from 1 species
AAUUCCCCCUUAGAGUUUGAUCCUGGCUCAGGAUGAACGCUAGCUACAGGCUUAACACAUGCAAGUCGAGGGGCAGCAUGAACUUAGCUUGCUAAGUUUGAUGGCGACCGGCGCACGGGUGAGUAACACGUAUCCAACCUUCCGUUUACUCAGGGAUAGCCUUUCGAAAGAAAGAUUAAUACCUGAUGGUAUGAUGAGAUUGCAUGAUAGCAUCAUUAAAGAUUUAUCGGUGUACGAUGGGGAUGCGUUCCAUUAGGUAGUAGGCGGGGUAACGGCCCACCUAGCCAACGAUGGAUAGGGGUUCUGAGAGGAAGGUCCCCCACAUUGGAACUGAGACACGGUCCAAACUCCUACGGGAGGCAGCAGUGAGGAAUAUUGGUCAAUGGGCGAGAGCCUGAACCAGCCAAGUAGCGUGAAGGAUGAAGGUCCUACGGAUUGUAAACUUCUUUUAUACGGGAAUAAAGUAUCCUACGUGUAGGAUUUUGUAUGUACCGUAUGAAUAAGGAUCGGCUAACUCCGUGCCAGCAGCCGCGGUAAUACGGAGGAUCCGAGCGUUAUCCGGAUUUAUUGGGUUUAAAGGGAGCGUAGGCGGGUUGUUAAGUCAGUUGUGAAAGUCUGCGGCUCAACCGUAAAAUUGCAGUUGAUACUGGCGACCUUGAGUGCAACAGAGGUAGGCGGAAUUCGUGGUGUAGCGGUGAAAUGCUUAGAUAUCACGAAGAACUCCGAUUGCGAAGGCAGCUUACUGGAUUGUAACUGACGCUGAUGCUCGAAAGUGUGGGUAUCAAACAGGAUUAGAUACCCUGGUAGUCCACACAGUAAACGAUGAAUACUCGCUGUUGGCGAUAUACGGUCAGCGGCCAAGCGAAAGCAUUAAGUAUUCCACCUGGGGAGUACGCCGGCAACGGUGAAACUCAAAUGACA